GACGAACGCUGGCGGCGUGCUUAAUACAUGCAAGUCGAACGGUGAAGCGAGUGCUUUCACUCGCGGAUCAGUGCCGCACGGGUGAGUAUCACGUGUGUAACCUCCCCAUCUCUCUGGGAUAAGCACUGGAAACGGUGGCUAUUAUUGGAUAUGACCAAUUCAUCCACAGGGUUUAGUUGGAAAAGAUUAUCUUUCUUGGAUGGACUCGUGGCCCAUCAGCUCGUUGGCGGGGUAAUGGCCCACCAAGGUGCCGACGGGUAGCCGGCCUGCGAGGGUGAACGGCCACACUGGGACUGAGACACGGCGCAGACUCCUACGGGCGGCAGCAGUGGAGAAUAUUGCGCAAUGGGCGAGAGCCUGAUACAGCGACGCCGCGUGAGGGAUGCCGGCCUUCGGGGUAUAAACCUCUUUCUAAGGGAAAGAAGCCAAAGUGACGGUACCUGCAGAGAAAGCCACGGCUAACUACGUG
rnacentral:rRNA from 1 species